UGCCGGAUAGUUCACUCGGUAAAGCGUCUUGUUGCAAAGCAGAAGUGACUAUCACGGCGCGGGUUCGAUCCCCGCCUCAUACCA